rnacentral:rRNA from 1 species
CUACCCUUGACAUGUACGGAACCCUGCUGAGAGGUGGGGGUGCCCGAAAGGGAGCCGUAACACAGGUGCUGCAUGGCUGUCGUCAGCUCGUGUCGUGAGGUGUUGGGUUAAGUCCCGCAACGAGCGCAACCCUUGUCCCUAGUUGCUACGCAAGAGCACUCCAGGGAGACUGCCGGUGACAAACCGGAGGAAGGUGGGGAUGACGUCAAGUCCUCAUGGCCCUUAUGGGUAGGGCUUCACACGUCAUACAAUGGUCGGAACAGAGGGUUGCCAAGCCGCGAGGUGGAGCCAAUCCCAGAAAACCGAUCGUAGUCCGGAUCGCAGUCUGCAACUCGACUGCGUGAAGCUGGAAUCGCUAGUAAUCGCGGAUCAGCAUGCCGCGGUGAAUACGUUCCC